AAUUUUGGACAAUGGGGGCAACCCUGAUCCAGCCAUCCCGCGUGUUCGAUGAAGGCCUUCGGGUUGUAAAGCACUUUUUGCAGGUAAGAAAAGGCUCUGGUGAAUACCCGGAGCUGCUGACGGUACCUGCAGAAUAAGCACCGGCUAACUACGUGCCAGCAGCCGCGGUAAUACGUAGGGUGCAAUCGUUAAUCGGAAUUACUGGGCGUAAAGCGUGCGCAGGCGGUUUAGCAAGAAGGAUGUGAAAUCCCGGGGCUUAACCUCGGAACUGCAUUCUUAACUGCCAGGCUAGAGUAUGUCAGAGGGGGGUAGAAUUCCGCGUGUAGCAGUGAAAUGCGUAGAGAUGCGGAGGAAUACCGAUGGCGAAGGCAGCCCCCUGGGAUAAUACUGACGCUCAUGCACGAAAGCGUGGGGAGCAAACAG
rnacentral:rRNA from 1 species